ACAGCAGUAGCCGCGGUAAUACGUAGGGUGCGAGCGUUAAUCGGAAUUACUGGGCGUAAAGCGUGCGCAGGCGGUUGUGUAAGACAGGUGUGAAAUCCCCGGGCUUAACCUGGGAACUGCGCUUGUGACUGCACAGCUAGAGUAUGGCAGAGGGGGGUGGAAUUCCACGUGUAGCAGUGAAAUGCGUAGAGAUGUGGAGGAACACCGAUGGCGAAGGCAGCCCCCUGGGCCAAUACUGACGCUCAUGCACGAAAGCGUGGGGAGCAAACAGGAUUAGAUACCCGUGUAGUCCCUGUCUCUUAUAC
rnacentral:rRNA from 1 species